GCGGUCGCACUAUCAUGGAUUAUAGAAAUAUUUAAAUAUACUAAUUAAAAAUUUAAAAAAUAUGAAAAAUAUUAAGCACUAUAAAAAAGAAUUCGAAUUUCACGCGAGAAAUGUUUUGCAUGAGAACUUGUUUAAUUAAAACGAGUCUAAAUUCAUAUUUGAACAGUGAUACAAGUGAUUGUUUUUGAAUGUUAAAAUCUUACCGUUAAUAAAAACAAUCAAAUAACAGCAACCUAAUUCAAGGUCCAAUAAUUGUGAAUUUAUCGGGCAGAGUGUGGAUAUAUAUUCUGAUCUCAGGAAAUUUACAUUCAGUUCUUAUUACCGAAGAUUUUGGAUUUAAAGAGUACUACAGUGCAUGUAUUUUUUUUAUGGAAAAAUAUAUUUCUACAAGAAAUCCUGUGGAAUUAGUGAAAAGUUUUGUAGAAAUAAUUACAAAGGGGGGAUUUUUACCAACUAUAGAAAAUGAUUGUUUUGAAUUAUAUACAGAAACCAAUUCAAGUGGUCUUAAAAAAUUGGUUCUGGAUUUUGGUUUAGAAAUUAUCCUAAUUUACACUGGAUUAUUGCUUAAAAAACGUAUUAUUGUUUACCAUAAAAACAUAGAGGAAGUUCAAACUGCCCUGUAUUUAUUUAGUCAGUUAAUGAAAUAUAGAAAACCAGAAUUAUAUCUCAUUCCAUAUGUUGUCAACCCGGAAAAAAUACAGGGAAAAUCAUUUUUCUUAACUGGAAUUACCAAAGACUGUAGUAGNAGAG